CUUCGUUGAUCCUACCAGUAGCAUAUGCUUGUUUCAAAGAUUAAGCCAUGCACAUGUAAGUACACACGACUGGUACAGUGAAACUUCGAAUGGCACAUUAAAUCAGUUGUGGUCCCUUUGAUCGCUCCAUCUGUUACUUGGAUAACUGUGGUAAUUCUACAGCUAAUACAUGCCGACAAGCACGGGCCUCCCUGUCUGCUUGCAUUUAUCAGACCAAGACCAAUCUGGGCUCAUCUGGCCGCAUUGGUGACUGAAGAUAACCAUGGGCCGAUCGCACUCCCUGUGACAGUAACGAUACAUUCGGAUGUCUGCCGUAUCAACUUUCAAUGGUACUUUCUGUGCCUACCAUGGUGACCAUGGGUAAUUGGGAAUCAGGGUUCAAUUCCUGAGAGGGAGCCUCAGAAAUGGCUACCACAUCCAAGGAAGGCAACAUCAAAGGAAGUCAGCAAGCGGGCACAUUACCAACUCAUGACUCAUGGAGGUAGUGACAAAAAUUAUUAAAACACUCUUUUGAAGCCCCUAUUAUUGGAAUGAGCACACUUUAAAUCCUUUAAAGAGAAUCCAUUGGAGGUCAAGUAUGGUGCCAUAAGCUGUGGUAAUUCCAGCUCCAAUAGCGUACAUUAAAGUUGAUGCAGUUUAAAAGUCGUAGUAGGUUCUUGGGAUCAAACUGGCAAUCUGCUGCAAGGCGAGCUACCCCCUGUCCCAGCCCCUGCCUCUCUGUGUCCCCUUGGUGUUCUUGACUGAGUGUCAUGGGGGUCCAAAACAUUUACUUCGAACAAAUCAGUAUAUUCAAACCAGGCUGCCCGGCUGAAUAAUUCAGCUAGGAAUAAUGGAAUCAGGUUACAUUUUGUUAGUUUUCAGAACUGGCACCAUGAUUAAAAGGGACGGCCGGAGGCAUUUGUAUUGUGCCAUCAGAGUUGGAGGUCUUGGACUGGUGCAAGAUGAACCAAAGCAUUUGCCAAGAAUGUUUUCAUUAAUCAAGAAGCCAGACGUUCGAAGACGCUCAUAUACUGUUGUAGUUUCAACCAUAAACUAUGCCGACUAGCGAUCGAUGGCAUCAUUCCCAUGACUCAUCAAGCAACUUCCAGGAAACCAAAGUCUUUGUGUUCUGGGGGGAGCUGAAACUUAAAGGAAUUGACAGAAGGGCAACACCUGGAGUGGAGCCUGUGGCUAAAUUUGACUCUACAUGGGAAACCUCACCCGGCCCGGGCACAGAAAGGAUUGACAGCUCUUUCUUGAUUCUGUGGGUGGUGGUGAAUGGGCGUUUUUAGUUGGUGGAGUGAUUUGUCUGGUUAAUUAUGAUAACAAAUUAGACUCCUCCAUGCUAACUAGUUACGUGACCCCCAGAGGUCAGUGUUCAACUUCUUAAAGGCACAAACGGCAUUGAGCCCCACGUGUUCGAGCAGUGACAGGUCUGUGAUUCCUUUAGAUGUUCGAGGCUACACGCGCACUGCACUGAAUGGAUCAGCGUGUGCCUACCCUUCAUCCAGAGGUGCAGGACCCACCAAAACCCGUUCAUUAUAGGGAUUGGGGAUUACAAUUAUUUCCCAUGAACAAGGAAUUCCCAGUAAGUGCGUAUGAUAAGCUUGCAUUGAUUAAGUGCCUGCCCUUUGUACACAUUGGCCAUCGCUACUACUGAUUGGAUAGCUUAGUGUGGUCCUCGGAUUGGCCCCGCCAAGGUCAGCAAUGGCUUUGGCUGAGCACAGAGAAGAUGAUCAAACUGGAUUAUCUAAAGGAAGUAAAAGUCACACCAGGUUUCCGUAGGCAAGCCUGUGGAUG
rnacentral:rRNA from 1 species